GUCAGUGGUAGCUUGGUGGUUAAAGCAUUAGGUCACUGAUCGGAAGGUUGGGGGUUCAAGCCCCAGCACUGCCA